AUUGAACGCUGGCGGCAUGCCUUACACAUGCAAGUCGAACGGCAGCACGGGUGCUUGCCCCUGGUGGCGAGUGGCGAACGGGUGAGUAAUACAUCGGAACAUGUCCUGUAGUGGGGGAUAGCCCGGCGAAAGCCGGAUUAAUACCGCAUACGAUCUACGGAUGAAAGCGGGGGACCUUCGGGCCUCGCGCUAUAGGGUUGGCCGAUGGCUGAUUAGCUAGUUGGUGGGGUAAAGGCCUACCAAGGCGACGAUCAGUAGCUGGUCUGAGAGGACGACCAGCCACACUGGGACUGAGACACGGCCCAGACUCCUACGGGAGGCAGCAGUGGGGAAUUUUGGACAAUGGGCGAAAGCCUGAUCCAGCAAUGCCGCGUGUGUGAAGAAGGCCUUCGGGUUGUAAAGCACUUUUGUCCGGAAAGAAAUCCUUGGCCCUAAUACGGUCGGGGGAUGACGGUACCGGAAGAAUAAGCACCGGCGAACUACGU
rnacentral:rRNA from 1 species